rnacentral:rRNA from 1 species
UACGUAGGGGGCAAGCGUUGUCCGGAAUCAUUGGGCGUAAAGAGCGCGUAGGCGGCCCUGUAAGUCCGCUGUGAAAUUCCUGGGCUUAACCUGGGGGCUGCAUUUGAUACGUGUGGGCUUGAGUGCGGAAGAGGGUCGUGGAAUUCCCAGUGUAGAGGUGAAAUGCGCAGAUAUCAGGAAGAACACCAAUGGCGAAGGCAGCUCUCUGGGACGGUACUGACGCUGAGACGCGAAAGCGUGGGGAGCGAACAGG